rnacentral:rRNA from 1 species
UACGUAGGGUGCAAGCGUUGUCCGGCAUUAUUGGGCGUAAAGAGCUCGUAGGCGGUCUGUCGCGUCUGCUGUGAAAACUCAGGGCUUAACCCUGAGCUUGCAGUGGGUACGGGCAGACUAGAGUGCGGUAGGGGAGACUGGAAUUCCUGGUGUAGCGGUGAAAUGCGCAGAUAUCAGGAGGAACACCGGUGGCGAAGGCGGGUCUCUGGGCCGUAACUGACGCUGAGGAGCGAAAGCAUGGGGAGCGAACAGG